UACGUAGGGGGCAAGCGUUGUCCGGAUUUAUUGGGCGUAAAGAGCGUGUAGGCGGCCUGAAAGGUCAGCUGUGAAAACUCGAGGCUCAACCUCGAGACGUCGGUUGAAACCAUCUGGCUAGAGUCCGGAAGAGGAGUGUGGAAUUCCCGGUGUAGCGGUGAAAUGCGCAGAUAUCAGGAGGAACACCGGUGGCGAAGGCGGGUCUCUGGGCCGAUACUGACGCUGAGGAGCGAAAGCGUGGGGAGCGAACAGG
rnacentral:rRNA from 1 species